rnacentral:rRNA from 1 species
UACAGGGGAGGGACAGCUGUUCGGUGAAUUACUGGGCGUAAAGGGCCAGUAGGCGGCCAACUAAGUCGGACGUGAAAUCCCCAGGCUCAACCUGGGAACUGCGUCCGAUACUGGAUGGCUUGAAUUCGGGAGAGGGAUGCAGAAUUCCAGGUGUAGCGGUGAAAUGCGUAGAUAUCUGGAGGAAUACCGGUGGCGAAGGCGGCAUCCUGGACCGACAUUGACGCUGAACGGCGAAAGCUAGGGGAGCAAACGGG